UGAAUAAUAAACUAAAGAGUUAUCUAUGUUUACCAGCUGAUCGUGAUCUCGUGAAAAUCAAGAUAGAAGAAGCAAGGAUGGAGCUUAAUGAUCUAGAAAAGAAGAUUUUUGAGAACGUAGAAAAAUAUUAUGUGUAGUUUAUCUGUAUUUCAGUGUCGGUCAGUUUAUUUGUCAUGUAAUGCUUACAUGUUGCUCAUAAACUUUCAAAAUAGUUUUUUAAGAGAAGUAAAUAUGUAUGAGUAAGUUUAAUGAAAUAUAUUUACUUCUGGAUUUUAUCUCCACUAUAGAUACAAUAGUAAUUAAAUUCUUCUUCAUUCUGUUUGUUCUUUUAUACAAUCCAGAGUUUGCUUGGAAUACACUAUGAUGUUCAGUAGUAGAUAAUGUAAGAUAAAGAAAUAAAUAAAUAAAGAUAUUUGUUUAGAUUUUGACAUAGCCAUCUUUUAUUUCACGAUAAAUGAAGUAUUUAUUUUGAUGAGUUUCACUAGGUUUCAUCCAGAAUCAUGAGAACAGUAUAAUGGUUAGGAUCUUGAUAACUUAAUAAAUUAAGAUACAUUUUUAUAUUUAUCAAAAAAACUGUCCGAAAUCUCUCUGAAGUAACAUUUUAGUUUACAUGUAGCGUUUGUGUUUAAGUGAAACAUCAAAUACAGGCUUUUUAAAUAUUAUAUAUAACAGUGAAAAGUAAAUACAUCACUAAAUUAUGGAGAAUUAUUAUUUUAUAUGAUCAACCUUAUAAAUGUAAGAAUCCAGUGUUUGAUAGGUCAGGGUAGUUACGUCAACCUUAAGAGUGUAAGAAUCCAGUGUUUGAUAGGUCAGGGUAGUUACAUCAACUGUAUAAAUGUAAGAAUCCACUGUUUGAUAGGUCAGGGUAGUUACAUCAACUGUAUAAAUGUAAGAAUCCACUGUUUGAUAGGUCAGGGUAGUUACAUCAACCUUAUGAAUGUAAGAAUCCAGUGUUUGAUAGGUCAGGGUAGUUACAUCAACCUUAUAAAUGUAAGAAUCCAGUGUUUGAUAGGUCAGGGUAGUUACAUCAACCUUAUAAAUGUAAGAAUCCACUGUUUGAUAGGUCAGGGUAGUUACAUCAACCUUAUAAAUGUAAGAAUCCAGUGUUUGAUAGGUCAGGGUAGUUACAUCAACCUUAUGAAUGUAAGAAUCCACUGUUUGAUAGGUCAGGGUAGUUACAUCAACCUUAUGAAUGUAAGAAUCCACUGUUUGAUAGGUCAGGGUAGUUACAUCAACCUUAUGAAUGUAAGAAUCCACUGUUUGAGAGGUCAGGGUAGUUACAUCAACCUUAUGAAUGUAAGAAUCCAGUAUUUGAUAGGUCAGGGUAGUUACACCUUAUAAAUGUAAGAAUCCAGUGUUUGAUAGGUCAGGGUAGUUACUUCAACUUCUAAAUGUAAGAAUCCACUGUUUGAUAGGUCAGGGUAGUUACAUCAACUGUAUAAAUGUAAGAAUCGACAGUUUUAUUUAUGUGAGAAUGAUCUAAUGUUACCUUAACCUAAUAAAUUGUUGUUUCUUAGAUGAAGGUUUCAUCAACCUAUUAAACUAGGCCUAGCAUGCCAAACUAUGGAUCCAAUGUUCAGUGGUUUGUGCUUCAUUACUGCCAAAAAAAAAGAAAAAUCAAGCUCCACAUUUAUAAGAAUGACAUUCAAAUCCCUCUGUUUGAUUGGAGUAGCCCAAGAGUUGUUGGUGGUUGAUUAACUGCCUUCCUUCAAGUCUAUCACAUCAAAAAUAGGAACAAGUUGCACUCAAAUAGUUUUGUAGAAAAUUAAUAAAGAACCACAAGAUUAUCGAAUUGUUGGUUUAUGCAUCAAAAUUACAUCUUAAUACACAGAAACAAACUUGAUUCUUAGAGGAUAUGUCCUUAAAAAAAUCAGAGAAGGAUCUGAGUAUCAUUUAUUAUUAUGAACUUGUAAGUCAGUAUAUAUAUAUUUUCUUACAUUUACACUUUUUCUGGUUCACUUUACGGGGUAUUAAGGUUUAUUUUUACCUAACUUGUGUCAACUUGUGAAUAACUUUUCAGAAUAAACACAGAAUUUGAAGAUUUGUAUUGUGUAAAUCAUUAUUUUUCCCUAAUGUGAACACUUGCAUGCAGCGAUUUUACAGUAAAUGUAAGUAACACUAAGCACUUUCCUGCCUUUAGAAUACUUAGUUUUUUGCAAAUAUCAAACUAAAUAAAUAACUUUACGUCACUUACUACUAUUAAAAGUGCAGGAGACCCGAAUGUGUGUAGGUGGACAGAUUGUAGCUAUGGUUGGAUUUUUCUAUCAUUAUCAGGAUUGUUAAAGUGCAGGAGACCCGAAUGUGUGUAGAUGAACAGAUUGUAGCUGUGGUUGGAUUUUUCUAUCAUUAUCAGGAUUGUUAAAGUGCAGGAGACCUGAAUGUGUGUAGAUGAACAGUUUGUAGCUGUAGUUGGGUUGUUUCUAUCAUUAUUAGUACAUUAUCAGGAUUUCCCAAAUGCGGGAUAUCUGAAUGGGUGUAGCGGAGCAGAUUGUAUCAUCCUAGUUUUAUUAGUAUCAGGAGAAAUGAGUUUGUAAAUUUUAUAGAAGUUAUUAUGAUGUUUUGUAAGUGUUUAUUAUAAUUAAAUAGGGUUUCUUUGAGAAUAGACAUAACCUUACUAUAUAUUUAUCUGACAAAAAAUGUAACUAUAUAUUGAAUAUGUAAUGUAAAGUUGAUAAGAAGUCAAUCUAAGCUUUAAAAGUGUUUGGAUAUCAAACCAGUGAAGGAUUAUGUUUUGAAACAUGUUUGCUUAUUUGCAAAUUUUAUGCUAUGCAAAAUAAAGUUGUGAUAUUGCCUGUUUUUUCUGACUGUAUUCAUCAUUCAAUUUAAACACCCCAAAAUAAUGCAAAUGUCUAGCUAUAGCUCAAAAGAUUUUUUUAAAAUUUAAAUUGUGGAAUAAACAGGGUUUCUAACAUAUAAGACGUUAAAAAACAGUAUUCAGAAGAAAAAAAAUGAAUGUGAAAAAUGUUAUAAAUUCAGUUAGUCGAAAAAAUAUCACACUAAACAUUGAAAUUUUAAGUAUAUCAAAUAUAUGUUUGGGUUUAUUGAGUGAAUCGAAGUUGAUAGGAAUUCUUCAUUGUCAUAUUGUAGAGAUGAUUCUCUCACUGACCAUAAAUAAAUAAUAAAUGUGUUUAUACGUAAUAUUACACUAAACUUGUAAUGAUAAGAAUAAUAUUAUUUUUUUAAUAUAGUUUCACUGAUGAUAAAUCGCAUUUGUUCAAAAUAUGAAAUUUGAACAACAUGAUAUUAGUCGUAUUUCAUAUAGCUUGAUGCGUUAAUAUAUGUUUUCAUAUAUUUUAUUGUUUUUGUUUGUUGUACGGUGGCGCUGAAUACCUUUAUGGUAGUUUAUGCCUAUUAAAUAUACAUAAUGUCAAUGAAAAUCUAAUUGUGUGGUACGACAGAUCUUGCGCUUCGAAGUGUUGAUUCGCGCUCACUACCGUAACAAUUCUCUUAUCCGUUUGAAUAACUUUAGAGGGUGGACAUGUUUAGAAUCGGCAGUAAGAAGAAUGUGAACAAGGAGUAUACCUGCACAAUCAGGCUUAUCGAUGAUAACGAAGUUAUCCAAUGCGAAUUCCGGAGGGACCAUAAGGGACAGUAUCUCGUGGAUUAUGUAUGUGAUUCUUUAAACCUUGUGGAAAAAGACUAUUUCGGACUUCGUUAUGUUGACUUUAACAAG